UUGGCGGCCGGCGGCGCAUGCGCGGCAGCAGGGAGCGCGAUGGCGGCGAGCAGGGCGGGUGUUUUGGCUGGGCGGCGGCGGGCGAGGGCAGAGGCCGCCUGGAGUCGAGCAUGUGGGGGCCCUGGGCCGCGGUUGCUCCCCAGCGCGGGCCAGGGCGUGCGCUCGCCCCUGCGGACGCAGCCUGGAGGAGUGUGUGGGGGGGUGUCUGCGCGGGGGUCUGGAUGUGUCCAGCAGCGGCACGGCAGCCUGAUGCCUCCUCUCGUCUGGGACGCGGGUUCCUUGGCAGCUCUUCUGGGAUGCGGGGCCCUUGGGUAGUCCACCGAAGGGGGACAUCUCGAAGAGAAGCAGCGAGACCUGGGGAUCCGGUUGUUCGUUUUGGUCGUCGCCUGUGAGGCCAGCAUCCGAGCGUAAGAGGAAUCUAGGCGCUGUCUCGAAAAGAGAUGGCACCAAGGACAGCAAAUGCUGACAAAGAAAAG